rnacentral:rRNA from 1 species
GGCUACACAUGCAGUCGAGCGGUAGCACAGAGAGCUUGCUCUCGGGUGACGAGCGGCGGACGGGUGAGUAAUGUCUGGGAAACUGCCUGAUGGAGGGGGAUAACUACUGGAAACGGUAGCUAAUACCGCAUAACGUCGCAAGACCAAAGUGGGGGACCUUCGGGCCUCAUGCCAUCAGAUGUGCCCAGAUGGGAUUAGCUAGUAGGUGGGGUAACGGCUCACCUAGGCGACGAUCCCUAGCUGGUCUGAGAGGAUGACCAGCCACACUGGAACUGAGACACGGUCCAGACUCCUACGGGAGGCAGCAGUGGGGAAUAUUGCACAAUGGGCGCAAGCCUGAUGCAGCCAUGCCGCGUGUAUGAAGAAGGCCUUCGGGUUGUAAAGUACUUUCAGCGGGGAGGAAGGCGAUAAGGUUAAUAACCUUGUCGAUUGACGUUACCCGCAGAAGAAGCACCGGCUAACUCCGUGCCAGCAGCCGCGGUAAUACGGAGGGUGCAAGCGUUAAUCGGAAUUACUGGGCGUAAAGCGCACGCAGGCGGUCUGUCAAGUCGGAUGUGAAAUCCCCGGGCUCAACCUGGGAACUGCAUUCGAAACUGGCAGGCUAGAGUCUUGUAGAGGGGGGUAGAAUUCCAGGUGUAGCGGUGAAAUGCGUAGAGAUCUGGAGGAAUACCGGUGGCGAAGGCGGCCCCCUGGACAAAGACUGACGCUCAGGUGCGAAAGCGUGGGGAGCAAACAGGAUUAGAUACCCUGGUAGUCCACGCCGUAAACGAUGUCGAUUUGGAGGUUGUGCCCUUGAGGCGUGGCUUCCGGAGCUAACGCGUUAAAUCGACCGCCUGGGGAGUACGGCCGCAAGGUUAAAACUCAAAUGAAUUGACGGGGGCCCGCACAAGCGGUGGAGCAUGUGGUUUAAUUCGAUGCAACGCGAAGAACCUUACCUGGUCUUGACAUCCACAGAACUUACCAGAGAUGGCUUGGUGCCUUCGGGAACUGUGAGACAGGUGCUGCAUGGCUGUCGUCAGCUCGUGUUGUGAAAUGUUGGGUUAAGUCCCGCAACGAGCGCAACCCUUAUCCUUUGUUGCCAGCGGUUCGGCCGGGAACUCAAAGGAGACUGCCAGUGAUAAACUGGAGGAAGGUGGGGAUGACGUCAAGUCAUCAUGGCCCUUACGACCAGGGCUACACACGUGCUACAAUGGCAUAUACAAAGAGAAGCGACCUCGCGAGAGCAAGCGGACCUCAUAAAGUAUGUCGUAGUCCGGAUUGGAGUCUGCAACUCGACUCCAUGAAGUCGGAAUCGCUAGUAAUCGUAGAUCAGAAUGCUACGGUGAAUACGUUCCCGGGCCUUGUACACACCGCCCGUCACACCAUGGGAGUGGGUUGCAAAAGAAGUAGGUAGCUUAAC